GGUGAUAGCUCAGUGGUAGAGCACGCGCUUAGCAAGCACGAGGUCCUGGGUUCAAUCCCCAGUACUUCCA
rnacentral:tRNA from 1 species